CCUACGGGAGGCAGCAGUGGGGAAUAUUGCACAAUGGGGGAAACCCUGAUGCAGCGACGCCGCGUGAGUGAAGAAGGAAUUCGGUAUGUAAAGCUCUAUCAGCAGGGAAGAAAAUGACGGUACCUGAGUAAGAAGCCCCGGCUAACGACGUGCCAGCAGCCGCGGUAAUACGGAGGGGGCAAGCGUUAUCCGGAGUUACUGGGUGUAAAGGGAGCGUAGACGGCAGUGCAAGUCUGGAGUGAAAGGCGGGGGCUCAACCCCCGGACUGCUCUGGAAACUGUACGGCUGGAGUGCAGGAGGGGUAAGUGGAAUUCCUCGUGUAGCGGUGAAAUGCGUAGAUAUUAGGAGGAACCCCAGUGGCGAAGGCGGCUUACUGGACUGUACCUGACGUUGAGGCUCGAAAGCGUGGGGAGCAAACAGGAUUAGAUACCCCAGUAGUC
rnacentral:rRNA from 1 species